rnacentral:rRNA from 1 species
AUUGAACGCUGGCGGCAGGCCUAACACAUGCAAGUAGAGCGAGCGGCGCACGGGUGAGUAAUGUCUGGGAACCUGCCUGAUGGAGGGGGAUAACUACUGGAAACGGUAGCUAAUACCGCAUACCAUCAGUUGUGCCCGGAUGGGAUUGGCUAGUAGGUGGGGUAAUGGCUCACAUGGGCGACGAUCCCUAGCUGGUCUGAGAGGAUGACCGGCAAAACUGGAACUGAGAAACGGUCCAGACUCCUAGGGGAGGCAGCGGUGGGAAAUAUUGCACAAGGGGCGCAAGCCUGAUGCAGCCAUGCCGCGUGUGGGAAGAAGGCUUUCGGGUUGUAAAGCACUUUCAGCGAGGAGGCGUUACUCGCAGAAGAAGCACCGGCUAACUCCGUGCCAGCAGCCGCGGUAAUAC